AUGGAGGUGGAGCUUAGUGCACUCAGAGGUCUCCAGUGUGAAACAUUCAGUGCUGGAUUUACUUUCUCAAAGCAGCUUCCACAAUGUUGCUGUACAGAAUUCUACUGUUCAGUGCAAUGACAGGUCUUACUUUGGGAAAUACUAUUACACCAAACCAAAACCAAAGUUAUGCUGAAGAAGGAUCUAAUGUAACCUUGUCCUGCCGCUACUCUUCAGCAUAUACUCUGCAGUGGUAUCGCCAGUAUCCCAGAUCAGCUCCACAGUUCCUCCUGCUCAUGCUACACAGCACUGGAGAACUGGAGAAAGAGUCAGAAAUAGAUCCUCGCCUGCUGAUGAAAUUAAAUGAAGACAAAACUCAAGUGUAUCUGGAGAUCUCCUCUGUUCAAGUCUCUGACUCUGCACUGUACUACUGUGCUCUGACGCAGGGGCGGACCUGCCAUUAG